GGAUGUAAAAGCAGCCUGGCUGUGGUAUAGGUUGCUCUUUUCUCUGGGUUUAUUUGACUAGUCUGGCUGGUUAGGCGGGUGUUCACCUUCACUCAUUGCUUUAUGUGAUUUGGACCUGAAGCUUAAUCCUCUGUAAAAGAAGAUGACCUUCUCAGUUAGAGUAUAAUUAUUGAGUGAGAUACUCCCCAGCUAGAACUUCCAAACAAGUCUGAGUAACUAAGCGAAAGUAACAAUUACCGUUCUCUCUUCAAAGCCAAAAACAAUU
ensembl:misc_RNA 7SK 7SK RNA